GCGAGCGGCGGAUGGGUGAGUAACACGUGGGGAACCUGCCCCAUAGUCUGGGAUACCACUUGGAAACAGGUGCUAAUACCGGAUAAGAAAGCAGAUCGCAUGAUCAGCUUUUAAAAGGCGGCGUAAGCUGUCGCUAUGGGAUGGCCCCGCGGUGCAUUAGCUAGUUGGUAAGGUAAAGGCUUACCAAGGCGAUGAUGCAUAGCCGAGUUGAGAGACUGAUCGGCCACAUUGGGACUGAGACACGGCCCAAACUCCUACGGGAGGCAGCAGUAGGGAAUCUUCCACAAUGGACGCAAGUCUGAUGGAGCAACGCCGCGUGAGUGAAGAAGGUUUUCGGAUCGUAAAGCUCUGUUGUUGGUGAAGAAGGAUAGAGGUAGUAACUGGCCUUUAUUUGACGGUAAUCAACCAGAAAGUCACGGCUAACUACGUGCCAGCAGCCGCGGUAAUACGUAGGUGGCAAGCGUUGUCCGGAUUUAUUGGGCGUAAAGCGAGCGCAGGCGGAAGAAUAAGUCUGAUGUGAAAGCCCUCGGCUUAACCGAGGAACUGCAUCGGAAAACUGUUUUUCUUGAGUGCAGAAAAAGGAAGAGUGGAACUCCAUGUGUAGCCGGUGGAAUGUGUAGAUAUUUGGAA
rnacentral:rRNA from 1 species